rnacentral:rRNA from 1 species
GACGAACGCUGGCGGCGUGCUUAACACAUGCAAGUCGAACGGAAAGGCCCUGCUUUUGUGGGGUGCUCGAGUGGCGAACGGGUGAGUAACACGUGAGUAACCUGCCCUUGACUUUGGAAUAACUUCAGGAAACUGGGGCUAAUACCGGAUAGGAGCUCCUGCUGCAUGGUGGGGGUUGGAAAGUUUCGGCGGUUGGGGAUGGACUCGCGGCUUAUCAGCUUGUUGGUGGGGUAGUGGCUUACCAAGGCUUUGACGGGUAGCCGGCCUGAGAGGGUGACCGGCCACAUUGGGACUGAGAUACGGCCCAGACUCCUACGGGAGGCAGCAGUGGGGAAUAUUGCACAAUGGGCGGAAGCCUGAUGCAGCAACGCCGCGUGCGGGAUGACGGCCUUCGGGUUGUAAACCGCUUUCGCCUGUGACGAAGCGUGAGUGACGGUAAUGGGUAAAGAAGCACCGGCUAACUACGU